rnacentral:rRNA from 1 species
AUGAACGCUAGCUACAGGCUUAACACAUGCAAGUCGAGGGGCAGCAUUUUAGUUUGCUUGCAAACUGAAGAUGGCGACCGGCGCACGGGUGAGUAACACGUAUCCAACCUGCCGAUAACUCCGGGAUAGCCUUUCGAAAGAAAGAUUAAUACCGGAUAGUAUACGAAUAUCGCAUGAUAUUUUUAUUAAAGAAUUUCGGUUAUCGAUGGGGAUGCGUUCCAUUAGUUUGUUGGCGGGGUAACGGCCCACCAAGACUACGAUGGAUAGGGGUUCUGAGAGGAAGGUCCCCCACAUUGGAACUGAGACACGGUCCAAACUCCUACGGGAGGCAGCAGUGAGGAAUAUUGGUCAAUGGGCGCGAGCCUGAACCAGCCAAGUAGCGUGAAGGAUGAAGGCUCUAUGGGUCGUAAACUUCUUUUAUAUGGGAAUAAAGUUUUCCACGUGUGGAAUUUUGUAUGUACCAUAUGAAUAAGGAUCGGCUAACUCCGUGCCAGCAGCCGCGGUAAUACGGAGGAUCCGAGCGUUAUCCGGAUUUAUUGGGUUUAAAGGGAGCGUAGGUGGAUUGUUAAGUCAGUUGUGAAAGUUUGCGGCUCAACCGUAAAAUUGCAGUUGAAACUGGCAGUCUUGAGUACAGUAGAGGUGGGCGGAAUUCGUGGUGUAGCGGUGAAAUGCUUAGAUAUCACGAAGAACUCCGAUUGCGAAGGCAGCUCACUAGACUGUCACUGACACUGAUGCUCGAAAGUGUGGGUAUCAAUCAGGAUUAGAUACCCUGGUAGUCCACACAGUAAACGAUGAAUACUCGCUGUUUGCGAUAUACAGUAAGCGGCCAAGCGAAAGCAUUAAGUAUUCCACCUGGGGAGUACGCCGGCAACGGUGAAACUCAAAGGAAUUGACGGGGGCCCGCACAAGCGGAGGAACAUGUGGUUUAAUUCGAUGAUACGCGAGGAACCUUACCCGGGCUUAAAUUGCAACAGAAUAUAUUGGAAACAGUAUAGCCGUAAGGCUGUUGUGAAGGUGCUGCAUGGUUGUCGUCAGCUCGUGCCGUGAGGUGUCGGCUUAAGUGCCAUAACGAGCGCAACCCUUAUCUUUAGUUACUAACAGGUGAUGCUGAGGACUCUAGAGAGACUGCCGUCGUAAGAUGUGAGGAAGGUGGGGAUGACGUCAAAUCAGCACGGCCCUUACGUCCGGGGCUACACACGUGUUACAAUGGGGGGUACAGAAGGCGGCUACCUGGUGACAGGAUGCUAAUCCCAAAAACCUCUCUCAGUUCGGAUCGAAGUCUGCAACCCGACUUCGUGAAGCUGGAUUCGCUAGUAAUCGCGCAUCAGCCAUGGCGCGGUGAAUACGUUCCCGGGCCUUGUACACACCGCCCGUCAAGCCAUGAAAGCCGGGGGUACCUGAAGUACGUAACCGCAAGGAGCGUCCUAGGGUAAAACUGGUAAUUGGGGCU